rnacentral:lncRNA from 1 species
UCACUUACAACACAACCAAGAAAGUGACCUUGAUCCCCUCAAGACACACACUUCUCUUGGCCAACACACCAACACUAAGAAUGUUGAUCUUGAUCCCCUCAAGAACACACAACACUUCUCAGCAACCACACAAAGAUUCUUGUUUAACAGAUACAAGGAUUACACUUGUUACAGAAACAAAUCUGAAAUCAAUACAAGCAGAAAUCCUAUCUCACACACUUUGAUCAAUCUCAAUCUCUAAGAUAUCUCAACUU